CCUGGCGUACUCUGGUCCAUGGGGUCACAAAGAGUUGGACACGACUUAACGACUAAACAAUGGCAAUGGGUUCAAAUGCAGGAUUCAGAGAAAAUGUAAAAUGUCAUUGAAAUCCUCCCCCUAACCAUCAUCUUAGAACUGCAGACCUGGAAAUGUCUGAAUCAGUUCAGAUUCUAGAGAGGGAGAGUACCUCUGCCUACACAAUGAGUUUUAAUGCUACUUCGCCCACCCCCCAUUAUGCGGAUUCAUUCAGUCUCUAAAUGUGAAGCGAUAAAGAAUUAUUUCAGAGUACACAGAAUGUCCCUUUUCCCCCACAGAGCACCCAGGGGCGAAUCCACACAUAUGUAGGAUGCAGGGCGGGGUCAGCUGCACUGGUAACUUCAUGAGGGAAAGUACGAAGAAGGCUUAGGUGGUUGCAGGUUAAUGCACUUUAUUUUCUUAAAUAUAAAUGAACGAAAUGAACAGUUGAGGAAGAGAAGCUGACGUUCACACCUACUUUCCGGAAACUAGUCUGAAAGCAGAACAACGAACAUUGACCCAGACGAACCCCCUUCCUUGCCCUUGUCAGGGUCUGUUGGUUAUCCACGCAGGCUUUAAUUUUGACACCAAGUCCUCUUGCAGUGAUGAUUUUCUGCAAAGUCGUUACUCUAUGCGCGCGAGGAGAAGGGUGUCGAGAGGUAAAAGAGAACCGUGUUCUUGCACCCGCUGAAAAGUCGUGCAGAGGGCAUGCUCCGCACGCCAAACUGCGACACACCCGUCGAAAAGUCCCUUUUAGCGCCAGACCACCGUCCUGCAGGAACGGCCCUUCUUCUGAGCACCGGAGGCUACAUCGAAGCUACAGAGCAUCAUGCACGUUUAAGGCAAUGAUUGAUGGAUCUGCCUUUAUUGGAUUAGAAGAAACCAAAGUGGUAAAGAAUAUGAAGAUUUUUGAUUGGAGUCCUGAAAAAGAUCGGACAGAAAAUGUGGUGGAAAAAGUGAGAGGCACUUUUGAGGCUGAAUUUGAAGACCUGGACUCUGAUAAUAAAGCCUGGGAAUUAGAUGUUAGAGCCACACCAACAGAUACAACAGCUGCACCCCAGUAUGAGGAAGAGAACUGGGAUAAAGAGCUGGCAGAGAGUGAAAAUGAUCAUCCUUAUGAUUUUGAAGAUGCAAUCCACAUUGCAAGUUUCUUGGAUCAAGAUCCAGCAACAUCAUGUUCCACUCAAGAAAGACCUUUGUAUGACCCAAGUUUUCACCAUGCGGCAUCACUGACUUUGAACCUGACACAGGUCACACCAGUGGAUGGCCAGUUUGAUGACGCUGUUGACUGAUGCAUGCUCAGCCUUGGGGCAGAUGCGUCACUUCUAAACAGAAUCCUUCACGAAGCUGAGCUGAAAAACAAGAGGAACCCUUUUGUGCUCUGAAGGUUUGAAUCUUGUCAAAGACCAGAGCAACACAAGAUUAAGGAUAUAACUGAGUAACAAUUAUGGAGCAAAAUUUUGCUUUAAAUAAUCACAUAAAUGGUUUUGGUUUAUUAUUUUAAAGUUGCUGGUGUGGUUGCUGCUGUUGUUAAAUUGCUCAUUUUUUUCUUUCCUGUCACCUGUACAGUAUUAUUUUAUUUGACGUGCUUGACUAAGCUGAGGUGUCAGUAUGUAUUAUUUCCAUAUUAUAAACUCAGUAUUGUGUUUGCUGUAACUUAUUUUUUUGAUAUAAAAGAGCACCAGUGUGCAGGAGGCAAUUACUUUGACAGGAUAAUUUCUGAAAAAUACAGGUUAUUUGGUUUUGUACACUGUGUACACAAGUGCGUUAUUUAACAUAGAAAUUGGAAGAAGUGCUGAUUUACCAUAUUGCCUAACACCUGAAUGUCCACUUUUCACUGAUUUAUUUAUACAUACAGUAUUGGAGACCUUAUCACCAAUGCUUUCCAGAGGCAGUUAUUGAUUGUCACCCUUAUAUCUCUUAGCAAUGAU
rnacentral:lncRNA from 1 species